rnacentral:rRNA from 1 species
UCCGUAGGCGGUGCGGCAAGUCGGAAGUGAAAUCUCAGGGCUUAACCCUGAGGCUGCUUCCGAAACUGCCGUGCUCGAGUGCGAGAGAGGCGAGUGGAAUUGCAGGUGUAGCGGUGAAAUGCGUAGAUAUCUGCAGGAACAUCCGAGGCGAAAGCGGCUCGCUGGAUCGCAACUGACGCUGAGGGACGAAAGCUAGGGGAGCAAACAGGAUUAGAUACCCUGGUAGUCCUAGCCCUAAACGAUCAGGACUGGGCGUGGGCCUCGGUACGGGGCUCGUGCCGCAGCUAACGCGUUAAGUCCUGCGCCUGGGGAGUACGGUCGCAAGGCUGAA